rnacentral:rRNA from 1 species
AUUGAACGCUGGCGGCAGGCCUAACACAUGCAAGUCGAACGAGUGGCGGACGGGUGCGUAAUGUCUGGGAAACUGCCUGAUGGAGGGGGAUAACUACUGGAAACGGUAGCUAAUACCGCAUACCAUCAGAUGUGCCCAGAUGGGAUUAGCUAGUGGGUGGGGAAACGGCUCACCAAUGCGACGAUCCCUAGCUGGUCUGAGAGGAUGACCAGCCACACUGGAACUGAGACACGGUCCAGACUCCUACGGGAGGCUGCAGUGGGGAAUAUUGCACAAUGGGCUCAAGCCUGAUGCAGCCAUGCCGCGUGUAUGAAGAAGGCCUUCGGGUUGUAAAGUACUUUCAGCGGUGAGGCGUUUCCCGCAGAAGAAGCACCGGCUAACUCCGUGCCAGCCGCCGCGGUAAUAC